rnacentral:rRNA from 1 species
CCUUCUCAAACAACUCUUGUUUGGUAGUGAGUGAUACUCUUGCGAGUUAACUUGAAAUUGCUAGCCAUGUAGGCUGUGUAACAUGCUGAUGCUUAGGGCGGAGUGAUCUGUCCGGGCUCGUGCUGAUACCGAUUGUCGUAUUAGGUUUUACCAACUUCGGCGAGAGUGUUAUUGGUGUGUGGUCAUUUAAGCUUCGGGAAGUGGCGUAGUCUGGCGAACAGUACUCUUUAAGU